rnacentral:lncRNA from 1 species
GAUCCUCACCGCCUCCAAGAGCUUCUCUGGCAGGCUCAGCUCCCGAGAAGCAUCUUGCCGCGCUGUAAGGGCUCCCAGCAGUGCCACGAAGGGCAGUGCCGGCUGCAACCCUCAGCCGGGGGGCAAAGUUUCGGCGAACCCGGGACCCCGCCGCUCCCAGCACCGCACCGCCACUCUCCUUCCCCGGGCACUCAGCACCGCUCCCCGGCGGAGCCGCGGGACGAGCGGGGAGAGGCCGAGUCUCAGCCGCCGCUGCCCUCGGAGCGCCCAAGCGCAGAUCCCGCUCCAUCCCCUCCGCCCCGCGCCCGCCCGCCGCCAAGCCGGGGCCGGGGCAGCGUUACCUGGAGCGCCCGGCGGCCGCCUCAUAGCCGAGGAGUGCGGGGCCGGCCCCGCCGCCNNNNNNNNNNNNNNNNNNNNNNNNNNNNNNNNNNNNNNNNCGCCGUGCCGGCUGGGGGAAGUUCGGGGCCGCCGAGCGCGCCAGCGGCACCGCCGCGCUGCGCUCCGCUCCCCCAGGCAAAGCCGGCCGCCGCCCGGGGCUGGCGCACAGCCUGGCGAAGGAUGAGGAGCGAAGGCAGCAGACUAUCCACCACGGCGGAGUGGUGUUGCUGGGGCUUUUAUCCCCUCCCGGCCCCUCCGCCGCAUCCCCCACCGCGCGACUUCCGCGGCAGCGGGACAGAGCCCUCGGUGUCCCGGGGAGGGGCUCGCCACCGCCCCGCUCCGCCUCCCGCCCCCUGCGCGGCCGCGCCCGCUCCUCACCGCUCCUCACCGCUCCUCACCGCUCCUCACCGCUCCUCACCGCUCCUUACCGCUCCUCACCGCGGUGCCCGGGCGGCGAUCUCCGGCAACUUUCCGCCGAGCGCGGGCAGAGCUCCCCCGGCCACAUCUGGGCUCGCUCCGCCGCCGCCACGCAGGGUUCGUGGGAGGGCGCAGCUUGCGAGCGCCCGGUCCCCGAUAAAUGCGUGGCAGCUCCCCUUGCGCGGGGGGAGGCGGAACCGCAGGGCUGAUAAAUUCAAAAGGCAUUGUGCUAGCUCUGGAAAACAAUUCUCCAGUUAA